GAUGAACGCUGGCGGCGUGCCUAAUACAUGCAAGUCGAGCGAACGGACGAGAAGCUUGCUUUUCUGAUGUUAGCGGCGGACGGGUGAGUAACACGUGGAUAACCUACCUAUAAGGCUGGGAUAACUUCGGGAAACCGGAGCUAAUACCGGAUAAUAUUUUGAACCGCAUGGUUCAAAAGUGAAAGACGGUCUUGCUGUCACUUAUAGAUGGAUCCGCGCUGCAUUAGCUAGUUGGUAAGGUAACGGCUUACCAAGGCAACGAUGCAUAGCCGACCUGAGAGGGUGAUCGGCCACACUGGAACUGAGACACGGUCCAGGCUCCUACGGGAGGCAGCAGUAGGGAAUCUUCCGCAAUGGGCGAAAGCCUGACGGAGCAACGCCGCGUGAGUGAUGAAGGUCUUCGGAUCGUAAAACUCUGUUAUUAGGGAAGAACAUAUGUGUAAGUAACUGUGCACAUCUUGACGGUACCUAAUCAGAAAGCCACGGCUAACUACGUG
rnacentral:rRNA from 1 species